rnacentral:lncRNA from 1 species
GUUCCUUUUUUUCACAGAAUCACAGAAUGGGUGAGGUUGGAAGGGACCUCUGGAGAUCAUCUAGUCAAAGCCCUUGCUCAAGCAGGGUUGCCUAGAGCAGGCUGCCCAGGACCCUGUCCAGAUGGCUUUUGAAUAUCUCCAAAGAUUUGCUACUGUAGUAGCUGCAAGCGCAGUAUAGGACAGAACUACUCUAGUGAAAGAGCCUUGGCCAUGGCUGUCAGACGUGAGACACCUCAGUAGAGUCUGCUGUUUCAAGAGACGAAGCAUUUACAGGAUGGGGAACAAAAAGCCUGUGCCUCGUGUCAAGUUGGGUGCCUGAAAAAUGCGGCACCCAUUACCGCUUUGGAGAAAGGUGGCAGUGAAGAGCUGCGUCUUAAACGUGAUGGGGAUCAGGUAUCUCUUGACUUAGUUACCCGAGGCUCCUCUGGUGGAGUCUUCCUCUGUGUCCACAGGUGAACCAGCGCAUUUUGCACACCUCUCUAGAGGCAUGUGGAUUGCUCUUGUCAGGUACUGUCAGUGUCUGUGAGAUGUGAGGCCUUUCACUCCGUGGUUUGUGCCAAGGACUUUCCGGUCAUCUCCUGCUCUAGAACUAGCCAGUAUCAGACCACGGCUAUAGGUAAUGAAGUCUACCUGAACACUACAGAGCUGAACAGCAAUUGUCUUCAGUAACACAAGCAGGGAGAAAUGAAAUCAGUUCUUUUGGAAAAUGUAGCAUCCUACAUAAA